rnacentral:misc_RNA from 1 species
GAUGAAGAACGUAGCGAAAUGCGAUAAGUAAUGUGAAUUGCAGAAUUCAGUGAAUCAUCGAAUCUUUGAACGCACAUUGCGCCCGCCAGUAUUCUGGCGGGCAUGCCUGUUCGAGCGUCAUUUCAACCAUCAAGCCCCCGGCUUGUGUUGGGGACCUGCGGCUGCCGCAGGCCCUGAAAACCAGUGGCGGGCUCGCUAGUCACACCGAGCGUAGUAGCAUACACAUCGCUCAGGGCGUGCUGCGGGUUCCGGCCGUUAAACCCCUUUUUUACCCAAGGUUGACCUCGGAUCAGGUAGGAAGACCCGCUGAACUUAAGCAUAUCAAUAAGCGGAGGA